CCUACGGGAGGCAGCAGUGAGGAAUAUUGGGCAAUGCCCGAAAGGGUGACCCAGCAACGCCGCGUGGAGGAUGAAGUCCUUCGGGUCGUAAAGCUCUGUCAGAGGGGAAGAAAUGCAGGUGGUGAACAACCAUUCUGUUUGACGGUACCCUCAAAGGAAGCACCGGCUAACUCCGUGCCAGCAGCCGCGGUAAUACGGAGGGUGCGAGCGUUGUUCGGAAUUAUUGGGCGUAAAGCGCGUGUAGGCGGUUUGUUAAGUCUGAUGUGAAAGCCCCGGGCUCAACCUGGGAAGUGCAUUGGAUACUGGCAGACUUGAGUACGGGAGAGGAGAGUGGAAUUCCCAGUGUAGGAGUGAAAUCCGUAGAUAUUGGGAGGAACCCCGGUGGCGAAGGCGGCUCUCUGGACCGAUACUGACGCUGAGACGCGAAAGCGUGGGGAGCAAACAGGAUUAGAUCCCC
rnacentral:rRNA from 1 species